GAUGAACGCUGGCGGCGUGCCUAAUACAUGCAAGUCGAGCGAAUGGAUUAAGAGCUUGCUCUUAUGAAGUUAGCGGCGGACGGGUGAGUAACACGUGGGUAACCUGCCCAUAAGACUGGGAUAACUCCGGGAAACCGGGGCUAAUACCGGAUAAUAUUUUGAACUGCAUGGUUCAAAAUUGAAAGGCGGCUUCGGCUGUCACUUAUGGAUGGACCCGCGUCGCAUUAGCUAGUUGGUGAGGUAACGGCUCACCAAGGCAACGAUGCGUAGCCGACCUGGGAGGGGGACCGGCCACGCUGGGACUGAGACACGGCCCAGACUCCUACGGGAGGCAGCAGUAGGGAAUCUUCCGCAAUGGACGAAAGUCUGACGGAGCAACGCCGCGUGAGUGAUGAAGGCUUUCGGGUCGUAAAACUCUGUUGUUAGGGAAGAACAAGUGCUAGUUGAAUAAGCUGGCACCUUGACGGUACCUAACCAGAAAGCCACGGCUAACUACGUGCCAGCCGCCGCGGUAA
rnacentral:rRNA from 1 species